UACAGAGGUCUCAAGCGUUGUUCGGAUUCAUUGGGCGUAAAGGGUGCGUAGGUGGCGAGGCAAGUCGGAUGUGAAAUCCCGGGGCUCAACCCCGGAACUGCAUUCGAUACUGCCUUGCUAGAGUACUGGAGAGGAGAUUGGAAUUUACGGUGUAGCAGUGAAAUGCGUAGAUAUCGUAAGGAAGACCAGUGGCGAAGGCGGAUCUCUGGACAGUUACUGACACUGAGCACGAAGGCCAGGGGAGCAAACGGG
rnacentral:rRNA from 1 species